AUGAAUCUCCUUGCCUGGAACUGUCGAGGACUAGGGUUGGACUCGACAGUUGGCGAGCUCAGAGACCUGAUACGGUCCCACAACCCAGCGGUGGUGUUUUUGAGCGAGACAAAGAAAACGACCAGGGCGAUGGAGAAGCUUAAGUGGAGCUUAGGCUUUAGAGAAGGGGUGGCUGUCGAUUGCAAGGGGAAAAGUGGUGGUUCAGCGUUGUGG
rnacentral:rRNA from 1 species